GAUGAACGCUAGCUACAGGCUUAACACAUGCAAGUCGAGGGGCAGCGGGAUUGAAGCUUGCUUCAAUUGCCGGCCACCGGCGCACGGGUGAGUAACGCGUAUCCAACCUUCCGUACACUCAGGGAUAGCCUUUCGAAAGAAAGAUUAAUACCUGACGCUAUGAUGAGAUUGCAUGAUAUCAUCAUUAAAGAUUUAUCGGUGUACGAUGGGGAUGCGUUCCAUUAGGUAGUAGGCGGGGUAACGGCCCACCUAGCCGACGAUGGAUAGGGGUUCUGAGAGGAAGGGCCCCCACAUUGGAACUGAGACACGGUCCAAACACCUACGGGAGGCAGCAGUGAGGAAUAUUGGUCAAUGGACGAGAGUCUGAACCAGCCAAGUAGCGUGAAGGAUGAAGGUCCUACGGAUUGUAAACUUCUUUUAUAAGGGAAUAAACCCUCGCACGUGUGGGAGCUUGUAUGUAACUUAUGAAUAAGCAUCGGCUAACUCCGUG
rnacentral:rRNA from 1 species